rnacentral:tRNA from 1 species
AGGAUGAUAGUUAAAAAUAACAUUUGAUUUGCAUUCAAAAAUUAUUAAAUACCAAUUUAAUUUAUCUUA